ACUCCACCAUCCUCCCGACGGAAGUAAGUUUGAAGCAUUCAUGAAACCGAUGAGAGGAUAUCUCAGUUUAUUUCUUGCAGAAUAAAUUGGCCAGGGAUUGUUUUUGAUAAAUUUGUAAAGAUGAAUGAUGUGGAGAAUGUUGAAUGAAAGCGCGCGGGAGUCGGUCAACAUAUUUUUUCAAACAAUUCUUGAGUUGAUGGAUUCCAUUACAUUGUCUAAGUUCAAUCUUUCUAUUUGUCUCUUGACAAGAUGGGUUGUGGUGAUUUCUAUGUUCGUAAAAGCUUCCAGAGCAAUAAAGAAGGGGGUCGGAGGACAAAGGCUUUUUUCCUUGGACUUGACAUUAAAUAAAAUCUUUUUGUCUCUGAGAUGAAGCUCCCUUUGAGCUAGGAGUAGGGCAACAGAGUUCAAGCCUGCUGUCCUGAAAAAUGCAUCCUUACUGCUCAAUCUGCUAUUAUAAUUAAGUACUUACUUGGAUUGAAGGAGUAUUUAAAGAUGUUUUUGGAGUUGGACUAAAUGGAAUCUCUAUGGAAAAAGGUUUUUAUUUAAUUUUUGGAAUCUGUUGAGGUAAGAUAAAGAAGUGGAACCCACUUAAUUAAUUGGUUUAUUUAUCUGGGUUUUCUGGAAGUUAAUGUAUGUAGAGUUCUGAAUUUUUUAAUAAAAUUUGAUCGUUUAUCAUCAGCGUGCAAGAGGUAUUUCAAGGUCUUAUUUCCAGGUUCCAUGUUUUUUAUCGUUGUAUUUGAUGUUAUUUCCUUCGACAGGCCAUUGAUAAUGUUAAUGAGAGUAUAUCUCCCAUACUUGCUCCUCAGAGAAUAUGAAAUUUCACGAAUGAACACGGUAUAUCUAUUCUUGAUGAGGAGUUUUAUCUUUAGCAUCAAAGCUAGUAGUGAACACUUACUUAUAAGAUCUGGAACGAAUCCUAUUUUGAAAAUAUUAUAGAAGACCUUUUCAGGAAUGGGUCCUAGUGGAGUACCUAAAAACAUUCGAAAGGUAGCCCGAAAAGCCCUGGAGAUUUCAAUUGACUAUCAUAUUCUCAGCUCUUUGAAUAUUUUGGAGGAUUUGCAUGCUAUUUAUCGAAAUUCCUCUAUGUGACAUUCCUUAUUGGCUUGAGCGUAAAUAAAGGUUUUGAAACUGCUAGAGGCAUUUACUUAUUGAUGAAUAACAAUACAUACAUGUAAGAGCUUUUGAAUACAAAUUAAUGGAUGUUUUAAGAAUUUUCUAAAAUAUUGAAACUCUGAAAUAGUUCAAGUUGGAAUAAAGAGCACCUGAGAUGAUACCCCCAAAUGCAUACAAAACCGAGUUAACAAUUAGACCCUCGAGUCGGAGUUUCAAUCAGUCAAUGUUUCAUUCUUCAGUAGUUAACACCACUAAAGCCAUGCCUCCAGUUCCAAAUAAUAAAGUUGUUAAAAGCAAGAAAUUUCAUGUUGGUAGAUAUAAGAAAAGACAGCAUAGACGUCGGGAAUUCGCAUCAAGUAAAUACAACACCGAUAACCGACUACAAAGAACCUCUUUAUAUUCAUCCCCUUCAACAUUGUCGACACUUGGAUCGGAUAUUAAUUGGCUAAAAAAUGGAAUGGAUACAAAUCCGCGAAAGAGCCAUCCCAGUCCUUGUCUGAGCAAAAGGCGAAAUCUGAAACAACAACUGAGAAGAAAUCCAAGAGUUGGGCGGAAUGGAAAGAAAAGGGAAAUGUAGAAAUCGAAAUAAAGACAUGCAGAUCCCCUGCCAUAAAAUUUGAUACUCCACUCUAUGAACUACAAUCUCCAAAAGAUAUUCCCUUUUUUGAUCUCUCAUCUAAUGAAGAGAAUUGGAGAGAAUUUAAGACUCUGAAGGGGAAAUGCAACAAUGACAUAAUAACAAGAAUUCCUUUAGUAAAGAAUCUUGUUCCAUCCUGUCAUGACGCUACUGUAAAUGACAUAUACAAUUUGAACGGUAGUAUCCAAUGUGGUGUUUGUGGGAUUCGUUUUUCACUUGAGGA
rnacentral:lncRNA from 1 species